rnacentral:tRNA from 5 species
GCCGGAGUAGCUCAGUUGGUAGAGCGCCUCACUUGUAAUGAGGAUGUCGCGGGUUCAACUCCUGUCUCCGGCUCCA